UCGUGCAAAAUACAACAACACAUAUGCGGUGAAUUUGGAUACAAAUAUAUAUCAACUGUGACUCAUGUCCCAACCGUGGACAGCACCUCAUAAUGACACCUUACAUAAAGGUAUAGUCGAAAACUAUUUUAGAAAUUAGAAUCUUUGGGAAGUGCUCAAGGAAACCUUCGUACAUGGGAGGCCAUGCUUCUAGGUUAUGAUAGACAUCAUAUGGCCACAGAAUUAUCCUUGGUUGACCCAAUAGACCCCAAAGAAAGAUGAGAAGAUUACUAUCAUAUUCUUCCCAAUAGUGAGUUUUCUCUUGACAUAUCAUUAUCUCUACUGUCUCUAAUUGAGAGUUAAAUUUCAAAUAGACUUCAAGAUCAUAUAGGUAGUGCUGGUAGAUAUACUCAGCAAGUGGAUGAGCACAACCCUGUCUUAUGAUGACACGAGGUUGUAUGUCAUUAGACAUCUUGUAUGAUAGUAGCAAAACACCCUUCCAAGUUAAAUUCACCUCACCCUCAACAUCUAUAGACCACC
rnacentral:lncRNA from 1 species